AACGGAAAGGCCUUGUGCUUGCACAAGGUACUCGAGUGGCGAACGGGUGAGUAACACGUGGGUGAUCUGCCCUGCACUGUGGGAUAAGCCUGGGAAACUGGGUCUAAUACCAUAUAGGACCGCAUCUUGGAUGGUGUGGUGGAAAGCUUUUGCGGUGUGGGAUGAGCCUGCGGCCUAUCAGCUUGUUGGUGGGGUAAUGGCCUACCAAGGCGGCGACGGGUAUCCGGCCUGAGAGGGUGUACGGACACAUUGGGACUGAGAUACGGCCCAGACUCCUACGGGAGGCAGCAGUGGGGAAUAUUGCACAAUGGGCGCAAGCCUGAUGCAGCGACGCCGCGUGGGGGAUGAAGGCCUUCGGGUUGUAAACUCCUUUCGCUAUCGACGAAGCCUUCGGGUGACGGUAGGUAGAUAAGAAGCACCGGCUAACUACGUGCCAGCAGCCGCGGUAAUACGUAGGGUGCAAGCGUUGUCCGGAAUUACUGGGCGUAAAGAGCUCGUAGGUGGUUUGUCGCGUCGUCUGUGAAAUCCCGGGGCUUAACUUCGGGCGUGCAGGCGAUACGGGCAUAACUUGAGUGCUGUAGGGGAGACUG
rnacentral:rRNA from 1 species